rnacentral:lncRNA from 1 species
GGAGGACAACGUCUGCUACGCGCUGCCCGUGUCGUGCGUGCGCGACUUCAGCCCCCGCUCGCGACUGGAUUUUGACAACCAGAAGGUGUACGCGGUGUACCGGGGCCCGGAGGAGCUGGGCGUCGAGCCCGAGAGCCCCCCGCGUACCCCUCGGGACUGGGGCGCGCUGUUGCUCCACAAGGCCCAGAUCCUGGCGCUGGCAGAAGACAAAUCUGACCUUGAGAACAGUGUGAUGCAGAAGAAAAUAAAAAUCCCCAAACUUUCUCUCAGUCAUGUAGAAGAUGAUGGGGAGGCUAAAGACUAUGGGGAAGAAGAUUUACAGCUUAGACACAUCAAGGAUUGUCUGGGGAAAUAUUGAGCUGCAGUCCAAGAAAGUCCCAGCUGCCCUUGCCUGAACUGAUUCUCGUUAUCCUACACAGAGACCGGAGGGGCGGAAGCCUAGUGAAGCGGCCCACAAGAGUAUCGAGGCAGUGGUGGCCCGGCUAGAGAGACAGAACGGCCUGAGCCUGGGCCAUAGCACUUGUCCAGAAGAGGUCUUUGUGGAGGCCUCAGCGGGCACAGAGGACAUGGACAGUCUGGAGGAUGCUGUCGUUCCCCGGGCUCUGUAUGAGGA